rnacentral:rRNA from 1 species
GCAAGUCGAGCGCAUCCUUCGGGAUGAGCGGCGGACGGGUUAGUAACGCGUGGGAACGUACCCUUUUCUACGGAAUAGCCUCGGGAAACUGAGAGUAAUACCGUAUACGCCCUUUGGGGGAAAGAUUUAUCGGAGAAGGAUCGGCCCGCGUUUGAUUAGAUAGUUGGUGGGGUAACGGCCUACCAAGUCUACGAUCAAUAGCUGGUUUGAGAGGAUGAUC